CAGACCUUUGAAAAGAAGCUGCUAGAGGAAACUAAGAUUUAUUGUUUACUUUCACAGUUGGCUGAGUGAGACACAUCAUGGUAAACUAGCACAAGGAGGAAAGCUGCUGAGCUCAUGGCAUCUGGGAGUCAGAGCGAAGAAGACCAGCAAAGACGAGGCCAGGAACCAGAUAUAGUCUCCAAGGUCAUGCCCCGGUGACCCAGACAGACACAUCUUAGAAGUGUGUUUUCCUAAUCUCUCACACCUUUCUCAACCCAACCAAAUCAACUAUCACAAUUAGCAAUCAUCACACCAUUCUUCUGCCUUUGCAUUCUCCAAACAACUUCAAAUCAUGACUGCAAAAUGAAGGUGAAUGUGUGAAGUUAGCAGCAUGGAACAUUGAAAUAAUUAGGACAUCCUGUGCUUCUUCACGCUUUUCAGAUGUCUCCCAGCCAGGUCAGAAAUGGAACUCUUUCACAAUCAGUAUGACAAUGGUGUCACUGACUAAAGUCCUCAGGGUAAUUUUUAUCAAAGUGAAUAUGCAAUGGAAACUGGCCUGUGCCAUCAGACUACAUGUGACAACUCAGCCCUCCCACUGCUCUUCUCUACUCUUACGACUGUGAAACCGGGCAGCACUCCACAGCAGCAUUGGAUCCAAACACAACCUCAAACUCAGGCAUUAGCACUAUGAGGCAUUGAUCUGGGAUCUGUAGUCCUUUCACCCUCUUUUGCUGCCAUGGUACCCGUGCAAAAACCUGUUACGAAAAGAGAGAAAAAAAUGCAGGCUCUCAGGAUCACCUUUGACUGCACUACCCUGUAGAAGACGGAAUCAUGGAUGCAGCCAAUUUUUGAGCUAUUUCUCCAAGAGAGAAUCAAAGUAAUGAGAAAAGCUUGGAAUCUUGGUGAAGAGGUUCUGACCAUCCAAAGGAGCAAAAGCAAGAUCACUGUAGCUUCUGAGGUCCCAUUGUGAAAUAUGUCACCCAAAAAUAUCACAAGAAGAAUAAUCUACAUGAUUAAUUACACAUAGUUGCAAGAGCAAAGAGUCAAAGAGAGUAACAAAUUAUAUCACUUUCAGUUAACCAGUAUGAAGAAGAGGAGAAAAAUGAGGGUUAAAAGUCAUUCAUCUCUGGACCUGGGGGAUUUAGCUCAGUGGUUCUGCUGCCUGCCUGGCAAGUACAAGGGCUCCAGCUCAAUUCCCGGUACCAAAAAAAAUCAUUUAUCUGGACUAUUUUUCAUGAGUUCUUGAAUAAAACUUGAGAGCCAAAAAUGAGGGAUUUAUAGUUGGUUAUUUGGUAUUCACUUUAUUCACCAGAGAUAUUAUUUUGUACACUUACUUCAAAAGUUUUAGCUGUAUCACUAUAGUCUUGCUGAAGGUUGUUAUUUCAAAGGAAAAUUUUAGCUUUGGGCCUAUCCA